ACCAUAUCUACCUAUCUAUUAGGUCAAAGAACAUAGAAAUGCAGGUAAAGUCUAGAUGCCUAAAGUUUGCAUACUUGGACGCUAAACAUGCUAUGUAUGUGCUUAGGAACCGAUUAAGAUCUUUGAAGCUCUCCUUGCAACAGAAAUAUGGAAUUUAUCUGCAACAACAACUUUCGGACAACCAACUGUUGCUACACAGGUUUCGACAAGCUAUUAGAAACCACUAUGUAAAGAAGUUUAAGUGGAUUUUUGUACAAGCAACUUCUGUGUAGGCUUAAGCCAAGAUUAGCCCUUGAAGAUGUAGCUACUAUAGUUGGUGACCUUGAGGUCCCAAAGCCGGUAAAGGAUCUCUUGCUAACUGGCCCUUCGAAUGUUUUGCACCUGCCACCCAAGUUGUGUGAUCUUGCACCCAGAGCCGAUCCUAGACAGUUGGCUGCCCACAUGCAAAUUAAAAUUGGCUGCCCUUUUUUUUACAAAUCUCAUGCUUUAAAUUUCUAAAUUAAUUACUCUCAAACACUUGGAAAAAUCAUCUAAAUAUAGGUAUGGAAUGGAUGAAAAUCAAAGAGAGAAACAUGUUAAAAUAGGUGUUUUAUUGUCAAAAAAAUACAAUCUACAACUACAAUACAUAUUCGUAUAAUCAGUAAUAGG
rnacentral:lncRNA from 1 species